rnacentral:tRNA from 5 species
UGGGGUAUCGCCAAGUGGUAAGGCCCAGGAUUCUGACUCCUGUACCGCUGGUUCGAAUCCAGCUACCCCAG